rnacentral:rRNA from 1 species
UGCAACCCGACUCCACGAAGUUGGAUUCGCUAGUAAUCGCGCAUCAGCCAUGGCGCGGUGAAUACGUUCCCGGGCCUUGUACACACCGCCCGUCAAGCCAUGGGAGCCGGGGGCGCCUGAAGUCCGGGACCGCGAGGACCGGCCUAGGGCGAAACUGGUAACUGGGGCUAAGUCGUAACAAGGUAUC